rnacentral:rRNA from 1 species
UACGGGGGGGGCAAGCGUUGGUCGGAAUUACUGGGCGUAAAGGGCGCGCAGGCGGCCCGGAAAGUCGGAUGUGAAAACUCGAGGCUCAACCUCGAGCGUGCACCCGAUACUGCCGGGCUUGAGGCAGGUAGGGGAGAUCGGAAUUCCUGGUGUAGCGGUGAAAUGCGCAGAUAUCAGGAGGAACACCGGUGGCGAAGGCGGAUCUCUGGGCCUGUCCUGACGCUGAGGCGCGAAAGCUAGGGGAGCGAACAGG